rnacentral:rRNA from 1 species
UACAGAGGUCUCAAGCGUUAUCCGGAUUCACUGGGUUUAAAGGGUGCGUAGGUGGGAAUGUAAGUCAGUGGUGAAAUCUCCGUGCUUAACACGGAAACUGCCAUUGAUACUAUGUUUCUUGAAUUUUCUGGAGGUUAGCGGAAUAUGUCAUGUAGCGGUGAAAUGCUUAGAUAUGACAUAGAACACCGAUUGCGAAGGCAGCUAACUACAGGGAUAUUGACACUGAGGCACGAAAGCGUGGGGAUCAAACAGG